GGAGAAAUACCCAAGAGGCUGAAGGGGCUGGCUUGGAAAGCUAGUAGGUCUGUAACAGGGCGCGAGGGUUCAAAUCCCUCUUUCUCCGCCA
rnacentral:tRNA from 1 species